ACAAGCGGUGGAGCAUGUGGUUUAAUUCGAUGAUACGCGAGGAACCUUACCUGGGCUCAAAUGUAUGUUGACGUAUUCUGAAAGGGAUACUUCUUCGGACAAUAUACAAGGUGCUGCAUGGUUGUCGUCAGCUCGUGCCGUGAGGUGUCGGGUUAAGUCCCAUAACGAGCGCAACCCCUAUCAUUAGUUGCCAUCAGGUCAAGCUGGGGACUCUAAUGAAACUGCCUACGCAAGUAGUGAGGAAGGUGGGGAUGACGUCAAAUCAGCACGGCCCUUACGUCCAGGGCUACACACGUGCUACAAUGGCCGGUACAAAGGGCAGCUACCUGGUGACAGGAUGCUAAUCUCAAAAGCCGGUCUCAGUUCGGAUCGGAGUCUGCAACCCGACUCCGUGAAGCUAGAAUCGCUAGUAAUCGCGCAUCAGCCAUGGCGCGGUGAAUACGUUCCCGGGCCUU
rnacentral:rRNA from 1 species